GUUUGAUCCUUGGCUCAGAAGUGAACGGCUGGCGGGCGUGCCUAAUACAUGCAAGUCGGAACGAUGAAGCUUCUAGCUUGCUAGAAGUGGAUUAGUGGCGCACGGGUGAGUAACGCAUAGGUCAUGUGCCUCUUAGUUUGGGAAAGCCAUUGGAAACGAUGAUUAAUACCAGACACUCCCGACGGGGGAAAGAUUUAUCGCUAAAAGAUCAGCCUAUGUCCUAUCAGCUUGUUGGUAAGGUAAUGGCUUACCAAGGCUAUGACGGGUAUCCGGCCUGAGAGGGUGAACGGACACACUGGAACUGAGACACGGGUCCAGACUCCUACGGGAGGCAGCAGUAGGGAAUAUUGCUCAAUGGGGGAAACCCUGAAGCAGCAACGCCGCGUGGAGGAUGAAGGUUUUAGGAUUGUAAACUCCUUUUGUUAGAGAAGAUAAUGACGGUAUCUAACGAAUAAGCACCGGCUAACUCCGUGCCAGCAGCCGCGGUAAUACGGAGGGUGCAAGCGUUACUCGGAAUCACUGGGCGUAAAGAGCGCGUAGGCGGGAUAGUCAGUCAGGUGUGAAAUCCUAUGGCUUAACCAUAGAACUGCAUUUGAAACUACUAUUCUAGAGUGUGGGAGAGGUAGGUGGAAUUUCUUGGUGUAGGGGUAAAAUCCGUAGAGAUCAAGAGGAAUACUCAUUGCGAAGGCGACCUGCUGGAACAUUACUGACGCUGAUUGCGCGAAAGCGUGGGGAGCAAACAGGAUUAGAUACCCUGGUAGUCCACGCCCUAAACGAUGGAUGCUAGUUGUUGGAGGGCUUAGUCUCUCCAGUAAUGCAGCUAACGCAUUAAGCAUCCCGCCUGGGGAGUACGGUCGCAAGAUUAAAACUCAAAGGAAUAGACGGGGACCCGCACAAGCGGUGGAGCAUGUGGUUUAAUUCGAAGAUACACGAAGAACCUUACCUAGGCUUGACAUUGAGAGAAUCCGCUAGAAAUAGUGGAGUGUCUAGCUUGCUAGACCUUGAAAACAGGUGCUGCACGGCUGUCGUCAGCUCGUGUCGUGAGAUGUUGGGUUAAGUCCCGCAACGAGCGCAACCCCCUUUCUUAGUUGCUAACAGGUCAUGCUGAGAACUCUAAGGAUACUGCCUCCGUAAGGAGGAGGAAGGUGGGGACGACGUCAAGUCAUCAUGGCCCUUACGCCUAGGGCUACACACGUGCUACAAUGGGGUGCACAAAGAGAAGCAAUACUGCGAAGUGGAGCCAAUCUUCAAAACGCCUCUCAGUUCGGAUUGUAGGCUGCAACUCGCCUGCAUGAAGCUGGAAUCGCUAGUAACUCGCAAAUCAGCCAUUGUUAGAGGCCAAUACGUUCCCGGGUCUUGUACUCACCGCCCGUCACACCAUGGGAGUUGUGUUUGCCUUAAGUCAGGAUGCUAAACGAGCUACUGCCCACGGCACAGCACAGAGACUGGGGUCCCCAAAGUCGUAACAAGGUAACCGUA
rnacentral:rRNA from 1 species